GACGAACGCUGGCGGCGUGCCUAAUACAUGCAAGUCGAACGCAGUGGGGACGGGUGAGUAACACGUGGGUAACCUCCCAUCAGAGGGGAUAACCCUUGGAAAAAGGUGCUAAACCGAUAUUGAUGGAUGACCCCGCGGUGCAUUAGCUAGUUGGGGAGGUAACGGCUCACCAAGGCCACGAUGCAUCGCCGACCUGAGAGGGUGAGCAGCCACACUGGGACGGAGACACGGCCCAGACUCCUACGUGAGGCAGCAGUGGGGAAUAUUGCACAAUGGGCGCAAGCCUGAUGCAGCCAUGCCGCGUGUAUGAAGAAGGCCUUAGGGUUGUAAAGUACUUUCAGCGGGGAGGCGUUACCCGCAGAAGAAGCACCGGCUAACUCCGUGCCAGCAGCCGCGGUAAUUC
rnacentral:rRNA from 1 species